GUUUUAUUUUAUUUAUUUUUUUCAAAUCAGUGUGAACUCUGAAAAAUGACAUGUCGUCCUUGGAGCUAUGACUUGUGCUCGUCGGCCAUGGAGGAGCCACCGUCGGCCACCGCCACGAAACCACCGUCGACAGAAGAGGACUAAGGCUCACACUCAGACUCAGAGCACUGAGGACCAUGAGAAACGAGGUCGACCUGCCGAUCGGUGACUUCGAAGAAACGAGGUCGACCUGCGCUGGACCUUCCGCCGCAGAAACUCGCCGGUAUCUCACCUUGAUUGGUACUUCAAUUCCCGAACUAAUUACGAUCGAAUAACCAUAUUGGAAACGCCAUUAGAAAUUAUCCACUAGUUAUUAAAUAGUUGAGUUGGUUGGUUUGUAAUUUCCUUUAUGCUUGAGUGCUAGACUGACAAACCUCAUUUAUUUUCCUCUUGUUCUGCUUCUAAGAGUGCUUCGGGGAUACUGUGUUUGGAAAAUGCAAGUGUUAGUAUCAGCUUUCUAUUUAGUUUAUUUUCUCUUAAGCUGGUGUUUAGUAUUUUGCACUAUGCUUUUGCUUUUCGAUGAUGAGAAUCCAUUGAUUGAGCUUACUGAUGAUGAAGAGGAGGAUGCAACAAACUUGGUACGAUACCAAUUCCUUGUGCAUCUGUUAAAAAGGCUGUAGCCUGUAGGGGAGAGGAUUGUUUCCCGCCACUGAUAAUCGAAAGCCAUACUUUGUAAAUCAUAGCAAAAAUGUUGUGUUAUCUUUGUCUUGCUUGGUAUUUGUCCAUGUUAGUCAAAGCAUGCUUUCCUUCAAGUUUACUGUCCUGUUUAUAGUGUCUUUUUGCCUGCCACAACUCUGCGUGUUGAUUUAUGUUGGUUUGGACGAAAAUAUACAAAAGAGGACGCGAUUCUGAAUUUUCCAGGAAGUAUUUGAACACAACAGACGAGAUAUAACUCUUGCCAUCAUGAAGAAUUACCCGUUACUUCUAUGUAAGUUCAUGGAUGACAAAACAAAAGUACCAUCACUUAUUGAAUAUAUCGUGCGUAUGAAUCCUGAGCUACGUUCACUCCACUUGAGUGUCCCUGCGUCACUGAAAAGUGAAAACUUGUUUUUCCUUCCAAUUACCAAAAUCUGUUGUCAUGUCAAGUUUGUUAACUGCUCUACAAGUUCUAGCUUCUGGGGUAGAAUUUCUUAAUUUCACCAGAUUAGGAUACCUCUUUGGUUGUGACGGACUUGAGUGAUUUUUUUGUCCUUCAUUCGUACCCUACGCUGUCCAUGCUUGUUUCCUUUUUCUGUUUGCAGCAUAUUGAUAAACACUCUCUCCUUGAUUCGGGGAUAUUGUGCUGUCUCAUUCAUAUUCUCAAUGCUCAUCUGGAUCCUGAUGAAGCCAAUCAAAAGCAAAAGGCUACUGAUCGUGAUGAACCAUUUCCAACUGAGAAAGAUUAUGACGGUGAUGCAGGUCAGGUCCAUCGGCUUGAGGUAGCUUUUACUUAAUGGUACAUAAAACUACACAUGUUUGUUACACAUUGACAUAUGCAAAGUCUGAUUUUGAAAACACAGUAGGCUUAAUAGCUGUUACGUUGUGUUUGGUAUUAGUAGAACCUUGUAGCAUUUUGAAGCGCGACAUUUUUUGAACAUGCCAGGAUUUGUUGUUAUUCUAACAUCUGUCUUUUUCCCUGUUUGAGGUGUAUAUUUAACAUAUUUGAACUACAGCCAGUAGUAGCGCGUGGCAUUUUUUUCAUACUGAACUUAAUCUUUGCUUGUACGUUACUGUGCUCUUGUAUUUGUUAGGUUAUCGGUUCAUGGUAUGUUUUUAACCUUCUUUUUGUUUCUAACCUAUAAUUAUGCGGGUACAUGGGAUUGCUGUGCAUAUUAUGAAAGCACUGGCAAACCAUACUUUGGCAGCACAAAGUUUGAUUGAGGAUGAUUCUCUUCAGUUGCUCGUUCAGAUGGUUGCGAAUGGCUCUUUGACAGUCUUCUCUCGACAUAAGGAGAGCCCGGUUCUGCUGCACAGCCUUCCCUAUUUGUAAAGACAUAGUUGGAUAGCAACAUUUUCCAGAGUCAUAAUCUUAAAUUAGGUUUUAGAACCCGUAAUUCGGAUUUUGUUUGUGCUAAGUUGUGGUUAUCUUUCCAGAUUCUUGUUCUUCUCUUGGUCAAUGACAACAGGAGCACAGCAAAAUAUAUUUGCAAACAUCAUCUGGUAUGGUAAUAUAUUAUAUGCGUGAUUCUACAUAUACCAUGGGCAUCAUGGAUUUGCCGCUUGUAUGUGUGGAAGUAUCAUAUAGACCUGCCGGUAGAAGCUGGUGGUGUCUGGCUUAGGGAGGAUAUACGUAAUGCCGAACAAAGAAAAGCUCUUUCAUAUAUGUUUCUGAAAGGUACCAAACGUUACUUUCUCAUUUGUAGCAUCCGACUUCAUAGAAAAGAAUGAAGGGGGCAGGGAAAUGGAAAAUGGGAGAGAAUCCAUUUAUUUGAUCCUAAUGGGAGAGAAUUCAUUAGGAUGUGUUCUGUUUCCUUUUUUGUUACUUUCCAUUCAUUAGGAGAUGUGCUUGGCUGGUAAAAGAACUGGUUCUACUGUAUACUCCUCUCUUUUACCAGCUUCUAUUGAACGCUUGUUACCUUUCAGAACAUAUAUGUAAGAGUUUUUCUUUGUUAAGUAGUUAGCUCUGAUGGUUUCAUCCUUUCAUCAGGUACAUUUCUUUUACUUUAUGUCUGUGUGAACCCUUAUUUCGAUUGAAUGUUACUUCUUCCUCCAAAAUAAAAUAGAAAAUAGAGGUCUUAUUUUUCCUUGAAAUUUACGUUUUCAGAGGACGUGAUUGUGGGUCAUGAAAUGUUGCCAUGAUGAAGAAUGACCUGUUACUUAAGUUCAUGGAUGACAAAACAAAAGUACCAUCACUGAUUGAAUAUAUCGUUCGUAUGAAUAUUGAGAGCUACGUUUACUCCACUUUAUCGACCUUGUGUCACUGAAAACUUGUUUUUCCUCAUUUGAUUUUUGUUGGAUCCAGUUACCAAAAUCGGUUGUCAAUGUCAUUCAUGUCUGAGUUGGAGACCUCUAUUUGGUUUUAACUUUGAUUUUUUGGUCCUUCAUCCGUACCGUAUGCUGUUCAUACCGUAUGCUUUUCAUACUUGUUUCCUUUUUCUGUUUGCAGCCUAU